rnacentral:rRNA from 1 species
GACAGAGGUGCCGAGCGUUAGGCGGAAUCACUGGGCUUAAAGCGUGUGUAGGCGGACGGGUAAGUACCUUGUGAAAUCCCACGGCUCAACCGUGGAACGGCUGGGUAUACUGCCCGUCUUGAGCCACUUAGGGGCCGUCGGAACAAAUGGUGGAGCGGUGAAAUGCGUAGAUAUCUGGAGGAACACCGGUGGCGAAGGCGGCAUCCUGGACCGGCAUUGACGCUGAGGCGCGAAAGCCAGGGGAGCAAACGGG